UAUCAUUAUAAUUUAAAAAAAAUAUUAAUUUGUGGAGUUAAAAUUAGGAAAAUUACCUUAAUGAUAA
rnacentral:tRNA from 1 species